AUUGUAAAAAGGAAAAAAAAAAUUAGAAAAAGGAAAUUAUUGUCAAGUAAAAACCAUCAAAUAAUCUUUUGCUAUUAUUAUCUUUGUUUAGUAUUUAAAAAGGAAAACUACGAUUAAAUAAUUCUUUUGUGUUAUUAUCUUAUUAUAUUUAUAUUAUUAAAUAUGAUAAAUUUUAACACAUAUCAUCAUCUUAAAUUUUUAAUUGUCAUGUGUCAUCGUCAUGUUAAUUAACAACUUUGAAAAACUAAGCUUUGUAUAAUAAGAUUAGAUCUCUUUUUAUAUAGGGUUAUACAAAUCAUAACCCUACGAAUAUUUGAAAAACUGCUUAAAGUAUCUUAAAAGGAAAAAUACCAAAACUCUAUUCUUAAUGCUUUAAGGAAAUAUUACUUUUGAAUCUUAUUUCUUUUGUAUGUGAUACCAUAGCGUGUAUCAUAAACAUGUAAGGAUGGAAGAUAAACUAUGAUCUAAUAUUUGAUACACAAACUCAGACUCCUCCACAUCCCACGUGACAAUGAUCCCACAAGAGAAAAAUGGAUGAACCUUGCACUUAGGAAAAGCGAUCUGACAAAAAUAUUUGUUUUCCUGCUGUAGACUCCACUUCCAACAAAUCCACUAUUGCCCCAACAAGAAGUAUCACACGGCUGAAGAUCAAACUCCAUACGAAGCAAAGCUCACUCUUUUUUCUCCUAGUAUUAAAAAGACCAAGAUAAUCCUUUCCUGCCCAAGUGAUAGACUCCAUCCCGUACGUCAAUGAAUUUUUUUUCAAAUCUAUGCUUCGACUCACUUGAAGCGGUGAAACAACGAUCAAUCUACAUGGAGAGAAAGUCAGAUCGCAUACCAACAAAAAUCAUAAAUUAUCAAAGAAAAAUCUCCAUUCGUUACUCCUUUCAUUGUGGAUCACAUCUGUGUCUUGUUCCAUGCUUUUCGAAACACCAAAUUGCUCACGUCACCGUAAUUCCAUGAAAACCAGAAAUACUUUUUUUUAUAUGCGGCAUAGACACACAUCACCGGUAACAUAUUAUUUGCCCACCCCUGCGUGCUGAUGUGGCUUAACGAGGAAAGAGCAUACCCAACUUUAUUAUUAUAGAUUUUAUGAUAUUUUGUUCUUUUGAAAACUGAAUUCUCAAUUUUUUUUAUAUUUGACUAAACUAAAUAAAGUAAUACUAUAUUUAAAAAUUGUUUUACAUAAUAUAUAUACUAUAUAUUUUAGUUUUAGUUUUUAUUUUCACCACAAAGAAACGACAAAAUUGUAAUUAAUUAAUUUAAAUUGAUUUUAAAUACAGUGAUGAAAUGUGUAAAUAAAAACGAAAUACAAAACUGAAGUAUUUAAUUUAUUAUAAAUACAUUGACUAAAUGUGUAAAUAAAAAUAAAUAUUUAAUCUACUACAUGUGUCUCCAAACAAUUCUCAUUUAUUAUGUUAUCCAUGUUUCCAAACAAUACCAAAAUUAUAUUAAUUUUAAUAAUAUAGAUAGAUACACGUUUUGGCAUUAUUUUAUUUGGUGGUAAAAACGUGCCUACUUUUGUGAACAAAACAGUUCGAAAAACCAACUUAUAGUGCAAUGCUAUUUAUUACGAGGACCAAGUACAUUAUAUAUUUGGAAAUAAUGUGGGUGAUGUGUAUGAUGAGCAUCAGAGAAAUUUAUAUUAUGAUAUGGUUACAAAUGUAUUUUUAUGAAACUGUAAUUUCUGAUAAUAGCAGGGAAGAACUUAACAUGCAAAACAGUUUUAUAAUACACUGCAAAAAAAACCAUCUAAGAAACAUGUAGGGCAGGGCAUUAUAGAUUGUCAUUGGCAUCCUUCUCGACAUCCAUCGAUCAAUCCAAUAUAUAAAAUAGAAAUCAAUACAAAAACCAAAGGAGUUCCAAGAAGAUUCUGAAGGAAUUCUUUUAUAUUUUUUUAACCUAAGAGAAAACCUAAAAUAAAAUAAUAUAAAUCAUAAAAGAAAGAAUACCCUAAACAACAACUAAUAAAACACAUAAAUAGAAUUUUGAGUUGGCCAAAGGCAUCCUGUUAAUUUGUGGUGACUUCUGGGUCUCAGUCGGUCUUGAAAUAGACUCGGCCAUCUACUUUCAUCAGUGUCGAUCGACACCAAAGGGUCAUUAUUGAUCGACACUCCUUCAUUUCUUCGACAGUUUCCUCUCGCGAGUUUGACAUACCAUUCUUCAGUGAAAUGAUCAUAACUCUAUAUUUAACCUUCAGAUGGACCUUUCCUAUUCCAUCGGUUUGAGGUCCAUCUGAAGGUUUUUUUUUUUUUUUUUUUGAUGUCAAAAAAAAAAAAACCUUCAGAUGGACCUCAAACCGAUGGAAUAGGAAAGGUAACUCAAAUAUAUAUCUUGUGUCAAAAUAUGAGCUCAAUCCCAGCGUGGGAAGGUCUCCGUCCAUCGCCAAAUUUUGGACACGUCUUUACAGUUCUGCAACUCAAAUAAUUCUGAAAUCAACAAAGUUCCUCAAACGUAUGUGAACCUGAAAUGACUCUAAAAUAGACUCCAAACAUAUAUAAUAGACUAUAUAUAUUAUAUAAAUUCUGAAUCUGUGACUUAAUCGAAUUAUUGUUUAUGCAUAUCAAAAAUACUUUAAAUUAAAUAUAAAAAGGCUAUUUUUAUUUAAUAAAUUUAAAAACAAGUGGUUGUGAUUUUUUGUUUUUGUCAAACUAGAUCCGUUUAUAUUGGAAUUUGAAAAGAUGUAUAGCUUAAAUUAGACUUGUUUCAAUUUGUGAUUCAUCUAUAAAUGUACUUCUAUGUCGUUCUAAUUUUUAAAACACCAUUAUUUCAUUAUCAAAAAUGAAAGUUGCUUUCAAACCUUGGUUUAUUGGUUUCGUUAUGCUCGCAAUUCUUCUGUUUGGAGAAAGGGCUAUUGCUCGGACAGGAGAAAAUAGGUGGUGUUUCACAACUUUAACACCUAUACCAUCAUCAAAAAAUCCCAACCCUCCAAGAUGUACUCCCGAUAGCUGUGAAGCCUUAUGUCUCAAAAAGAAAAAAGCACUGAUAAGUAAAUGCCUUAGAAUAAAUUACGGAUGCAUGUGUCGGAUUGACUGCGCUAACUGAUUUUUUAUAUACAUUAAAACUCGAAUAAUAUUUAUAAUAAUACUAUGUAUUUGUCAUAAAUAAAUAUAAAUAACAAAUAUUGAUACAUGUAUCUUCAUCUC